AAACAUUGAUUCUGCAUGCCCUGGAGGAGAAUCAAGCGGCGACAUCUGUAAUAUAGAAAGCAGCGAGUGUAUUGAUUCUGUUUGCAAAUGUGUAACUGGCUAUGCUGCCAACGCUGAAAAGACGCUGUGCAAUGACGUUACAAUUGAUUCUGCAUGCCCUGGAGGAGGAUCAAGCGGCGACAUCUGUAAUAUAGAAAACAGCGAGUGUAUUGAUUCUGUUUGCAAAUGUGUCACCGGCUAUGCAGCCAACGCGGAAAAGAAGCUGUGUAACGAAGACAGAGACGAAUGUACGGCAAACACACACAACUGUGACACAAAUGCAGCAUGUGUUAAUACUGACGGAAGCUUUACAUGUAUCUGUAACGAUGGUUACUCUGGAGAUGGUACAUCAUGCACCGCAACCUGUUCCAAUGGUCCCUGUCUGAACGGAGCUACCUGUUCUGUCGACAGCAAUCAGCUUGUUUGUAAUUGCCUCGCCGGAUACGAAGGCACAUACUGUCAAACAGCAACGUGCUCGAACACGCCCUGCCAGAAUGGUGGCACAUGCGCACUGGCCAAUAGUAAAGUAGAGUGUGAGUGUGUCACUGGAUAUAAAGGAUCUUACUGUCAAACAA